CAAGUCGAGCGGCAGCGACUUAACUGAACCUUCGGGGGACGUUAAGGGCGGCGAGCGGCGGACGGGUGAGUAAUGCCUGGGAAAUUGCCCUGAUGUGGGGGAUAACCAUUGGAAACGAUGGCUAAUACCGCAUAAUCUCUUCGGAGCAAAGAGGGGGACCUUCGGGCCUCUCGCGUCAGGAUAUGCCCAGGUGGGAUUAGCUAGUUGGUGAGGUAAGGGCUCACCAAGGCGACGAUCCCUAGCUGGUCUGAGAGGAUGAUCAGCCACACUGGAACUGAGACACGGUCCAGACUCCUACGGGAGGCAGCAGUGGGGAAUAUUGCACAAUGGGCGCAAGCCUGAUGCAGCCAUGCCGCGUGUGUGAAGAAGGCCUUCGGGUUGUAAAGCACUUUCAGUAGGGAGGAAGGUGUUGUCGUUAAUAGCGGCAACAUUUGACGUUACCUACAGAAGAAGCACCGGCUAACUCCGUGCCAGCCGC
rnacentral:rRNA from 1 species